GACGAACGCUGGCGGCGUGCUUAACACAUGCAAGUCGAACGGUGAAGCGCCUUCCUUUUUGGUGGGUGUGGAUGAGUGGCGAACGGGUGAGUAACACGUGAGUAACCUGCCCCCUUCUUCUGGAUAACCGCAUGAAAGUGUGGCUAAUACGGGAUAUUCUGGGUCUGUCGCAUGAUGGGUCUGGGAAAGAUAUUGUUUCGGUGGGGGAUGGGCUCGCGGCCUAUCAGCUUGUUGGUGGGGUGAUGGCCUACCAAGGCGGUGACGGGUAGCCGGCCUGAGAGGGUGGGCGGUCACACUGGGACUGAGACACGGCCCAGACUCCUACGGGAGGCAGCAGUGGGGAAUAUUGCACAAUGGGAGCAAGGCUGAUGCAGCGACGCCGCGUGAGGGAUGGAGGCCUUCGGGUUGUGAACCUCUUUCGCCAGUGAAGCAGGCCUGCCUCGUUUGUGGGUGGGUUGACGGUAGCUGGAUAAGAAGCGCCGGCUAACUACGUG
rnacentral:rRNA from 1 species